rnacentral:misc_RNA from 1 species
CUUACUUCAUGGACAUUAAUGUUUUGGCCUUCUUGGUUCCAGCUGGGAUUAUUGCAUGCUUUCUUCCUUUAUCUGAUGCAAGCUCUUUUGUUGUCCUUUACAUUGUGACAUCUGUAUAUUUUUCUGGAGUCAUGGUCCGUCUGAUGCUUGUACUUGCUCCAGCGGCAUGUGUCAUGUCUGGAAUUGCCCUUUCUGAAGCUUUUAGUGUUUUCACACGAUCAAUUAAAUUUCAGCUACAUGGAUUAUCAGGGAGUUCCCAAGUUGAUUCAGGGGAUGCUAGUUCAAGUACUGUUGUGGCACAAAAUGAUGCAGGAAAGGCUGAGAAAACUGAAGAUACAGCAAAAGAACGGCCUUCAAAAAAGAGCAAGAAGAAAGAAAAAGGGAUUGUGGAUAAACCAUCCCUAAAAGCCAAAAUUGAAAAAAGGCUUCUUGUUUUACCUUUUGAGGCGUCUAUCUUCGCUAUUCUACUACUUGUGUUGCUUGGUGCCUUCUACGUGGUUCAUUGUGUCUGGGCUGCAGCAGAAGCCUAUUCAGCACCCUCCAUUGUUUUAACAUCUUAUUCACAUGAUGGUGGUCUACAUGUUUUUGAUGAUUUUAGAGAGGCCUAUGCAUGGUUAAGCCACAAUACAGAGGUGGAUGAUAAAGUUGCAUCAUGGUGGGACUAUGGUUAUCAAACGACUGCUAUGGCUAACCGAACUGUUAUUGUCGACAAUAAUGACAAUAAUACUUGGAAUAACACGCAUAUUGCAACUGUUGGCACUGCCAUGUC